AUGGAGGCAUGGGAAGGUGCCGGUGGUGGAGAACUGCUGAAGAAACUGCAUGGGAUCGUGAGAACGAGGAUGGCAGAAGAUUCCCUGGGGAAGCGAGGAACAGCCCAUGCACAGGAGCACCUGAAUCCAGGCCAUAGUGAGGAUGCAGCAUUAAUAAGGCAAAAUCAGGUCCAGUCUGAUUUACCAGCCAUUAACAUCAUUAACAUACACACCAGCACAUCAGACUGCUUUUCACCAGAUCCUGAGUAGAUGAAGCAUAGGUCAAUGAAGAAAUGGAGCCCUUGCCUCUUGGAGAAGUUUGACAAUUUUGCGUUACAGUAGUUGAAGUAAAUUAGUCUUUUCCAGCCAGUAAUGUCUUCGCAAUUUUCUUAAAACCUUCCAUUUAAAAAAUGCUUUUCAAAUUACCAUGCAGGCUUCAUAGAACAAUUAUAAGUGCACAAACAAACCCCAUCGCACUGCUGUGCUAAUUACCCUCCAGGCUCCUGAUCUUUCAGGUUGCCUUCGUGUUGCAAUGGAGACUUAGAAGUGAGUUCCUGCUCCAUGUGCUGUGGGAAACAGUAGGUUACACACACAGAAGUAAUUUCCUUGUCCGUAGCCAAUUCUGUCCUCAUGGCAGCAAGGUUUUAGAAGUUUCCCAGAUGACAACAACAAGAAAAACAACAAGAAAAAAUCUACUUUUUCUGUGGAAAAUAGAUUUAUUUUUAUAAGCGAUUAUGAGAUUUACUAUUAGCCUAUAUAGCAUUGAUGCCAAUAAGGACUCCCACUGAAACUUCAGCGUGAGUUUGAUGGGAAAAAUGCAUCCUUUUCAUAAAGAUUAAAGUAAAAAUCUACAUGGAGCACUGAGCUUGGAAAGGAUGAAUGGUUAUUUCAGUGCUAGAGACUGUUUUGUCCAGAGGUGAAGCUGAAACAAAUCCUGCACUAAACUGAUGCUAUGGGAUAAACCUGACUGCUCCUUUCUUUUCAGUUGGAAAAAAAAAAGUGUGACUUCUUGAUAUGUGCCUUGACAUAUGUUGAUUUAGAAAUAUUUUAAGAAGUUAAUAUUCUUGAUUAUUUUGUUCACACCACAUUUCAACACCUUUGAUUCCUAUUACAUUGCUGCAUUCAUCACUUCUCUGUCUGUGCAUUCCAUGGGCAAAUUGGGCUGUAAAUACAUUAACAGUGCAUGCAGCCCUGUCUGUGCUCAUGGAUUGCUCCUCCGUUUACACAUUCAGUAAAAAGCAGAAAAGACAUCUACUUUUCAGUAUCCUUCAUAAAUCGUUUUUACUUACUUGUAAACCUGCUGCAGAAUAAAGGAUAACAACUCUAUUACA
rnacentral:lncRNA from 1 species